CAAGGUACAAAUAAUUAGCUGUCAAACAGUCAGGAAAAGAAGGAUUCGGCACCAGUGCCACCAAAAAAGAACCAGAAGAUUAAUUGAAAAUAGAUCCGUUUGCGGAAAUUCCUUUGAAACUGCUGUGUUUGCGAUGUCGGGUGUAGUGCGAAGCUAUGAUUCCUCUGAUGAUUCACGGCCGGAAGGGAAACGUUCUCGCCUGGACUCCACAUCGAGCAGUAAAAAGAAAAAACACAAGAAGCAUAAGAAACACAAGAAAUCGUCUCGUAGUGAACGUGAGGCAGGUGUCGAUGGCGGUGGGAGCGAUCUUAAAUCUAAAAAACACAAGAAACACAAACGAAAACAUAAAUCUAGUGUGGGAUCAGGAGAUUCUUCCGACACUGGACGCAAUUCGUCCAGACGCGGAAACAAUGGUGCUAGCGGAGUACCGUCCAGAAAAUCGGGCGGUCUGAGUGAGAAGUUCACGGAUAUAAUGGAGAAAGUUGGGAAGAAUGCGGAUUCUGUGGUGAUUAUAGAGAAGACGUCGAAUGGGCAUACGAUUGCUAUGAAGAAACCAAAUAUACCCACUGACCCUUCGAGCUUGGUGGAGGAGAUCACAAGAACGUUAAAUGCGAAGGCGAUACCGUCGAUGGAGAUUGUGUCGUCGGAGUCGGAAAGUGAUGUAAACGAAGUGGACGAAGUGGCUAGCCCCGAUGUAGCAGUCAUUGAGGACGAGUUAAAUCUUGAAGAGCUCAUGAAACAAAAGGCUCUGUUACAGGCUCGCCUCGGUGCCUAUCUGUCCGAAUCCGAUGAUGAUACCUCUAAGGGUGGCGGCGAUAAGACAGAAAAGGCGACUGCAGCCAAGAGUAAGAAUAUCGAUGAGUCUAGUAAUAAUAAUAAAAAUGUUUCUAAACCACAAAAUAAUGAAUCCGAUAUUAUAUUGUUGGAUGAUUCUAGCGGCGCAACAACGCCGACAUCGAAGGCACCACUGGCCUCUAAAACACACCAUCAGCCGCACUCUGAUCACUAUCACGACCAUGAUUUAAUUGUUGAACGAUCAUCUGUGAUGGCUAAGAAGCGAACUCAGAAAAGUCCGGCGCCCACGCCAAUAGGACGGAAUCAUUCGCGUAGUCGAAGUCGUGAUCGUAAGCAAAUUACAUCCUAUAGUAAUCGUGAAUCUGAUCAGCAACGAUCAAGUAGAAUAAGUGGUAGUCGACGAGGGGAAACUGAGAAUCGUUUCAAGGAGGAUCUUCGUGAUGAAAUCAAUCGCGAUAAGGAACGACAACGGGAACGUGAGAGACGACAACAUGAGAUGGAGCGUCAUCGAUAUUCAGAUCGUGAUCGUGAUCGAGCUGGAAUGAGAUACAGUCGUGGUGGUGGUGACGGGCAGUCCCUAGAUCGGGAUCGGGACCGUCGGAAGCGUGAACGCAGUCAUAGUCGCAGUAAGUAUGAAUCUGAUAGGCGACGGGAACGAGAAAGGGAAAGAGAAAGAUCUCGUGAACGUGAUCGUGAAAAACGUUCCAGGAAAGAAGAACGAGAUAAAUUCAAGGGGUCCCUGAGCGAAGGACAGCAUGUUCAAAAGGAUUCUAGCAGCGAUAGUGAAAUUGCUGAUAUUGACAUAAAAGAGGAUGAAGAUGAUGAGGAGAAGAUUAUCGAAAUGAGGCGGAAGAGACGGGAGGAGUUACUUAAGAAAUUGGGUGCCAAUGGUGACAAUAACGACAAACAGGAGGAAAGUGUACGAGCUGUACAGCCAGAAGUAUCUCGUGAUGUAUCCAGGGGGGCAUCGCCCGCUUCAAAAGUGUCGUUAUCACCAAGAUCAUCUUCCAAACAAGAACAGCGAUCUCCGGCUUCUGAUUUCAGAGACGAUGAUAAUCCGGAGAGCUCUAAUGGAUCUCAUACACCACCGUUGCAGCCCAAGGAUACGCGGCAAGAUAGUUCACCAAGACCUGAUAAUGGCGGGGACAAAACAAAACAAACUAAAGAACCAUCGAAACGCCCAGAAUGGGACAUGUUUGCUGAUCAAGAUGUCGAUUCCAAUUUCGAUUCACCAAGCACAGUUGUCGCUAAUAAGAAUCAUGUGGAGAAUCCAGCACUCACAGACAAUUGGGACGAUGCCGAAGGCUACUAUCGCGUCCGCAUUGGUGAAGUUCUUGACAAUCGGUACGUGGUAAGUGGCUACACAGGCCAAGGAGUUUUCAGUAACGUAGUCCGUGCACGUGAUCAGGCCCGGGGCAACGCAAAUGUAGCUGUUAAGAUUAUUAGGAAUAAUGAAAUCAUGCAUAAAACUGGUCUGCGGGAGUUAGAAAUCUUAAAGAAAUUGAACGACGCUGACCCUGAAGAUCGAUUCCAUUGCUUGCGACUCUAUCGUCACUUUUUCCAUAAGCAGCAUCUUUGCAUGGUCUUUGAACCGCUCGCGAUGAAUUUGCGAGAAGUCCUGAAAAAAUAUGGCAAAAACGUUGGAUUACAUAUCAAAGCCGUUCGUAGCUACACUCAACAAUUGUUCCUUGCAUUAAAACUACUGAAAAAGACUGGAAUACUUCAUGCCGACAUUAAACCCGACAAUAUCUUAGUGAACGAAAGCCACCUAAUAUUGAAGUUAUGCGAUUUCGGAUCGGCUUCAACUAUCACAGAUAAUGAGAUUACACCGUAUUUGGUGUCGAGAUUCUACCGAUCGCCUGAAAUUAUUUUGGGAAUUUCAUAUGACUAUGGAAUUGAUAUGUGGUCUGCUGGGUGUACGAUUUAUGAAUUGUAUACAGGGAAAAUUUUGUUUAGUGGAAAGUCGAAUAAUCAAAUGUUGAAGUUUUUCAUGGACUUAAAAGGAAAAAUACCAAACAAGCUCAUUAGAAAAGGACAGUUUAAGGAUCAGCAUUUUGACCAAAGUUGUAAUUUCCUGUAUCAUGAAAUCGAUAAGUUAACAGAGAGGGAAAAAGUGGUCGUCAUGCCAGUGAUAAAGCCAUCUCGAAAUCUCCAACAAGAAUUGAUUGCAGAUCAAAAUCUGCCAGAUGAUCAAUAUCGGAAAGUAACCCAACUUCGAGAUCUUCUUGACAACGUAUUUGCUUUGGACCCGUCGAAACGUGCAUCAUUGAAUCAAGCAUUGGCCCACCCCUUCAUUCAGGAGAAAAUGUAGGAAGUCAACUACAAGUGCGGCAACCCAAUGGCCAGUAAACAGAGGCAGAAAAACGGAAAUGUUGCUGCAGCCCAGCGGAUAAAAAUACAACUGAAUUAUGAUUUUUUGAAUAAUUCAUGGACCAGACACUAAGCAACAUAUUGAGGCUGAGACAGUCAUUAUCUUUUUGUCUGAAGUUUGAUUAGUGCCGAAAAGAUGUAGAGUAAUUGUUGGCAUUAAUUCAAUGAGAGAAUAUUCUGAUGCCCUACAAUUAUCAAGGCGGAUAAUUAGCAGGCCGAAUGCCAACUUCUGCGUAUUUGGCAGAAUUAAAAGAAAUUCAGAAAGAUAUUUUUAACCAUUUACGCUUACCUAGUAUCAUCGGUGGUUGCCCAGAUAUUCGAGCGACGAUUAGUUUCGCUGCAAUUCUCGUGUACAGAUUCGGUUUGUAGCAAACUAUUCAGCAUGAGUUCUAUGUUUCAGAUAUACCGGCGUAAAAGGCCCUCAUAAAAUUACAGGCUAUAUGAAAUACGUCGUAUAAUUAUUGGUAUGAGUUUUACAAGCAGUUGAAUGUACACAUAUGUCUCUUUGGUAUCUUAAUUAUGAGGCGGCCGUUUAGAUGGAAUCUCUCGGUUCACAUGAAAGUCUGUGCUCUUGGUUUAAAUGCUGAGGUGGUGUUAGUCACUUCCAAAACAUUUCUUGUAAGGAUAAUAGAAUCUAAGCAUAGCCUCACUAUUAAAAAAAGAAAAGAUAAAUCGAAGACUAAAAUU